rnacentral:lncRNA from 1 species
GUCCGCCCAGGGGGCGCCGUGGGCCUCGGCGGCGGGCCUCGGAGGACGCGACGGGGAAACGGGGCGGAGGCGCGGGCGCCGCGCGGAGGGGUUGCGGCUGUUGUCGCACCGGUCGCCCGGCUGCGCGGCGGGGGCGGGCCGACGGCGGCCGCCGCGCCAGGCCUCACAAAGAGCAAACAGCCCCGCGCGUCCGCCCGCGGUCCCAGCGCCGGGGCCCACCCUGAAGGAUCUGGGGCGGCCGCUCUGGGACCCCGGGAAGAGCGCGGCGAGGAAGAGGCACUUCCUGCCUGGGCCCCCCACCCUGGGCCGAUUCCCGAGUGCCUCGAAGCCGCCCGACCCGAACGGGCGCCUCAGUCCCCACCGGCCCCGAGUCCAGCCCCUCCCGCGGGACUCACCCUGAGCGGCGGUGAGAUCCGCGGCUGCCAGCGGCUUGUCGCUCUUCAGCUGGCGGCCAAUGUAGUCAGUCUGGGGACCCACCUCCCCCUUUCAGCUGAGCGCACACAACACAGCAUCCACGUGAGUCAGCUUCUUAAAGGCGAAGGCUUGGCCUGUCUAAUUGCGGCAGCUGCGAGACAUCGCACGUCAUUAGCGUCACCAGGUAGCGGCUGGAGCCGAGCUUCCUGAUACCUAGUGAGCCGCGGUGAUGACAAAUGAAAACAAUAAGCUGUUUCCUAGACAAACAGCUGCCUAGUUUCGCUCUGUCGCCCAGGCUGGAGUGCAGUGGCACAAUCUCGGUUCACUGCAACCUCUGCCUCCCGGGUUCAAGCAGUUCUCUUGCCUCAGCCUCCCAAGUAACUGGUACUACAGAGAAUUGAUACAAAAAAUGAUCAUGUGAAGAAUUUGCAUCUUCUGCAGAACUACCGGUAUCAGUCAGCAGUAGGAGAUUGUAUAAAUUCAGCCUGAGAUUCCAGAAUAUUCUGUGUAUUGACCACCACAGCAAGAAGAAAAAGUCCAUGUAGGACUGAAAUCAUAUGCUGAGCCCUUUCCCAGUGUUGGGAGCAUAUCAAGAUAUUGACACAGUUCCUGUCCUUAAGGUGCUGGCACCAAGAAAAUGCAUACACCCUGUGGGCAGCUCACUUUGAAGAGAGAGAGGAGAAGAAAGGGCUGGGCUGCCCCUACUCAAGCUCUUCUUCCAAAAGCAGUACUCAGAUGGGUCACUCCAUAAUUCCCAGGGUCCAGUCAGGGAGCGGUGGGGAGAGGCUGGAGUGGCCUACUAAGGGAGAGCCCUGUUAACAGAGCCUCCUACACAAGGAAGAAUCACUAGGAGAGGGGAAGGAACGUGCGAGGCCCCUGCCAACUCCUCUUCCAUACUCGUUCGUUUGCGCAUUCAACACACUUUUGAGCACCUUCUUUUCCUCUGUGCUCUGUGACAGGAAUUCAAACAUGAAACUAGAUGUGGCCUUGGCUUUCAGAGAAGUCAUUCCCUUAGUAGUGAAUACUAGUUCCCUGAAGUUUAACAUUGGAGGAGAAGGAGUUAUUAAACACCCAUUCUAAGCAAGAACAUCAGUAGCCUACAAAGGGCCUUUUUUCACACUUUGAGUCUGUUGAAGAAAACUCACAGUUGGUAUCACUUGCUUUAAAAGUGCCCCCCACUCUGCCUUGUACGGUCCGGAUUGCUGUGAGGCCAUGACAAGGAACCAAGUUCUGUUUUUCUGUGAAGAGAAUGGAAUAAUCAUUUACCUCUUUCCUGUGGCUGCCAGCUGGUCCCUUCACUCAGUCACUCCCUGUUUCUCCUUCCUCCCUUUCCUCUCCCCUUCCAGUACACAGAAUCCCUUCUCCAUAUCCCCCCAUGAUGAAGGACCACCAGUCAUUGGCUCACCUCUCUUCCAAAAUUCCAAUGACUAGAGUCUUUCUCAGAGUAUGUAUAACUGAUGUCACAGACCCCUGAGUCUGGAAGAGUCUAAGUAAAAGUGGGUGUUGACCUGAAUGUAAGUUAGUUUUCUAUUGU